UACGUAGGGGGCAAGCGUUGUCCGGAUUUAUUGGGCGUAAAGAGCGUGUAGGCGGCCAGACAGGUCCGUUGUGAAAACUCGAGGCUCAACCUCGAGAUGUCGAUGGAACCCGUCUGGCUAGAGUCCGGAAGAGGAGUGUGGAAUUCCUGGUGUAGCGGUGAAAUGCGCAGAUAUCAGGAAGAACACCUAUGGCGAAGGCAGCACUCUGGGACGGUACUGACGCUGAGACGCGAAAGCGUGGGGAGCGAACAGG
rnacentral:rRNA from 1 species